GAUGAGUAGAGUGGCGCACGGGUGAGUAACGCGUAGGUAAUCUACCCCUGUAUCUGGGAUAACCGACCGAAAGGUUGGCUAAUACCGGAUACCCUUUAUAUGUCGCGAGGUAUAUAGAGGAAAGGUGACCUCUGAUCAAGUUACCGUAUAGGGAUGAGCCUGCGUACCAUUAGCUAGUAGGUGGGGUAAAGGCCUACCUAGGCGACGAUGGUUAGCGGGUCUGAGAGGAUGAUCCGCCACACUGGAACUGGAACACGGACCAGACUCCUACGGGAGGCAGCAGUGAGGAAUAUUGCGCAAUGGGGGCAACCCUGACGCAGCGACGCCGCGUGGGUGAGGAAGGUUUUCGGAUCGUAAAGCCCUGUCAGGUGGGAAGAAGUGUUAUACGGUUAAUACCCGUGUAAUUUGACGGUACCACCAGAGGAAGCACCGGCUAACUCCGUGCCAGCAGCCGCGGUAAUACGGAGGGUGCGAGCGUUGUUCGGAAUUACUGGGCGUAAAGGGCGCGUAGGCGGCUUGAUAAGUCAGAUGUGAAAGGCCCACGGCUCAAC
rnacentral:rRNA from 1 species